rnacentral:ncRNA from 1 species
AUGUUAUCAAGAAAGGUGGAGGGAAUAGACCCGCUGAAACCUUAGCAACCCUUGUUCAAAUUAAACUAUUUGGUCAUGAAGGUGCUACAUUCUACUAAAACUUUUGUUUUUAGAUAGAUAACUA